CUGUGAUGGAAUGUCCUGUCCUCCUGUAGACUGUUUAUAUUGUGAUAUGCUUAAAAGUAUAACAUAAAUGAUAAGUCACAGAGCUUGUUUUCAAAGCUGCAGGUUGUGAAAUAAUUACACAUUUUGUAUCGAUUAUUCAGAGAAAAAGCAUCAAUAAGUGAGUAGAAGGUAAACUAAAUGAUAGAAUUUUAAAAUAAAAUAUGAGAUGAUAUCACUCAUAGAUGCUUUCAGAACUUCAAAAGAAAAAUUGGGCUGACUUAUUUUUUUUCUGAAGAUUCCUUUAUUGUUUUGUCUGACUUACCUCCCCUU
rnacentral:lncRNA from 1 species